UGAGGAGUUGGCAACACUGAGUGCAACAAGGCUUUGUGGUGAAAGUCGAGAACGAAGAUGUGUUGGUGUCUCCGGUCGUGUUGGAUCCUUGGAGUGGUGUUUCCAGCGGCCUGGAGGAGAGACAAACACACCAGCAGGACUUGAGGGAUCAACAGCUGCUGCUCAAAACCGAGAAAGAGGAGGAUGUGGAUUUCCAACACGGGACGAGCUCGUCGUCUUUUCAGCUGAAGGCAGAACCGAAGAAUGAGCACAUCUAUCCUUUGAGUGGUGUUUCCAGCGGCCUGGAGGAGAAGCACACACACCAGCAGGACUCCUGGGAUCAACAGCUCCUGCUCCAAACCAAGAAAGAAGAGAAUGUGGACUCCCAAGAUGUGACCGACACAUUUUCUCUUCAGCUGAAGGCAGAACCUGAGGACUACCAGGGAAUCUCAGCAGUGGUCUCCGGGGCAUCCGUUCUGCCCUCUAGUCCGUCCUCUGAGGCCGGAGUCGAUAUUCAAGCCGAAGCUGAAGAUGAAGAUAUGGCUGUUGAUGAGCAGGACGUUCCUGGAUGUCAGCACGUGGACAGACUCGCC